rnacentral:rRNA from 1 species
UAUACUUUAUGUCUUAUGGAGCAAUACCACGUGAACGAUGAAGGUCUUCUGAUUGUAAAGUUCUUUUAUUUAGGAAAAAAAGCGCGCUAGGAAAUGAGCGCGCCUUGAUGGUACUAAUUGAAUAAGUGACAGCUAACUAUGUGCCAGCAGCUGCGGUAAAACAUAGGUCACGAGCAUUAUCCGGAUUUAUUGGGCGUAAAGGAAGCGUAGGUGGAGAGGUUGAUCCAUUGUUAAAGGCAUUUGCUUAACAAAUGUGUGCGAUGGAGAUCGCCUCCCUAGAGUUAAUCAGGGGGUACUGGAAUUCAAUGUGUAGCGGUGGAAUGCGUAGAUAUAUUGAGGAACACCAGAGGCUAAGGCGAGUACCUAGGAUAUAACUGACACUGAGGCUUGAAAGCGUGGGGAGCAAAUGGGAUUAGAUACCCCAGUAGUCCACGCCGUAAACGAUGGGCAUUAGGUAUUUGACAUCUGGUCGAGUGCUGUAGCUAACGCGUUAAAUGCCCCGCCUGGGUAGUAUAUAUGCAAAUAUGAAACUCAAAGAAAUUGACGGGGACCUGAACAAGUGGUGGAGCAUGUUGCUAAAUUCGAUAAUACACGAAAAACUCAAAG